rnacentral:rRNA from 1 species
GAUGAACGCUAGCGGGAGGCUUAACACAUGCAAGUCGAGGGGCAGCAUAGAGUAGCAAUACUUUGAUGGCGACCGGCGCACGGGUGAGUAACGCGUAUGUAACCUACCCUGUACAGGGGGAUAGCCCGGAGAAAUUCGGAUUAAUACCCCAUAAUGAUAUCGAGAGGCAUCUUUUGAUAUUUAAAGCUUCGGCGGUACGGGAUGGGCAUGCGUGACAUUAGCUAGUUGGUAAGGUAACGGCUUACCAAGGCUGCGAUGUCUAGGGGUCCUGAGAGGGUGAUCCCCCCCACAGGUACUAAGACACGGACCAGCCUCCGACGGGAGGCAGCAGUGAGGAAUAUUGGUCAAUGGGCGUAAGCCUGAACCAGCCAUCCCGCGUGAAGGAAGAAGGCGCUAUGCGUCGUAAACUUCUUUUCCAGAGGAAUAAAAUUUUGUACGCGUACAGAACUGAAGGUACUCUGGGAAUAAGCAUCGGCUAACUCCGUGCCAGCAGCCGCAGUAAUAC